UACGUAGGGCGCAAGCGUUAUCCGGAAUUAUUGGGCGUAAAGAGCUCGUAGGCGGUUUGUCGCGUCUGCCGUGAAAGUCCGGGGCUCAACUCCGGAUCUGCGGUGGGUACGGGCAGACUAGAGUGCAGUAGGGGGAGACUGGAAUUCCUGGUGUAGCGGUGAAAUGCGCAGAUAUCAGGAGGAACACCGGUGGGCGAAGGCGGGGUCUC
rnacentral:rRNA from 1 species